AGUGGCAGUCAGCACGCUGUAGGGCUGUCUCCCUGUGCGGUCCUGUACAGCCAGCCUCACGAGGGGCGACAGGAAACAGGUUCCCCGUGGGAGUGGCAGUCAGCACGCUGUAGGGCUGUCUCCCUGUGCGGUCCUGUACAGCCAGCCUCACGAGGGGUGACAGGAAACAGGUUCCCCGUGGGAGUGGCAGUCAGCACGCUGUAGGGCUGUCUCCCUGUGCGGUCCUGUACAGCCAGCCUCACGAGGGGUGACAAGAAACAGGUUCCCCGUGGGAGUGGCAGUCAGCGCACUGUAGGGCUGUCUCCCUGUGCGGUCCUGUACAGCCAGCCUCACGAGGGGUGACAAGAAACAGGUUCCCCGUGGGAGUGGCAGUCAGCACGCUGUAGGGCUGUCUCCCUGUGCGGUCCUGUACAGCCAGCCUCACGAGGGGCGACAAGAAACAGGUUCCCCGUGGGAGUGGCAGUCAGCGCGCUGUAGGGCUGUCUCCCUGUGCGGUCCUGUACAGCCAGCCUCACGAGGGGUGACAGGAAACAGGUUCCCCGUGGGAGUGGCAGUCAGCGCGCUGUAGGGCUGUCUCCCUGUGCGGUCCUGUACAGCCAGCCUCACGAGGGGUGACAAGAAACAGGUUCCCCGUGGGAGUGGCAGUCAGCACGCUGUAGGGCUGUCUCCCUGUGCGGUCCUGUACAGCCAGCCUCACGAGGGGCGACAAGAAACAGGUUCCCCGUGGGAGUGGCAGUCAGCGCGCUGUAGGGCUGUCUCCCUGUGCGGUCCUGUACAGCCAGCCUCACGAGGGGUGACAGGAAACAGGUUCCCCGUGGGAGUGGCAGUCAGCACGCUGUAGGGCUGUCUCCCUGUGCGGUCCUGUACAGCCAGCCUCACGAGGGGUGACAAGAAACAGGUUCCCCGUGGGAGUGGCAGUCAGCGCGCUGUAGGGCUGUCUCCCUGUGCGGUCCUGUACAGCCAGCCUCACGAGGGGUGACAAGAAACAGGUUCCCUGUGGGAGUGGCAGUCAGCACGCUGUAGGGCUGUCUCCCUGUGCGGUCCUGUACAGCCAGCCUCACGAGGGGUGACAAGAAACAGGUUCCCUGUGGGAGUGGCAGUCAGCACGCUGUAGGGCUGUCUCCCUGUGCGGUCCUGUACAGCCAGCCUCACGAGGGGUGACAGGAAACAGGUUCCCCGUGGGAGUGGCAGUCAGCGGUCAGCUCGGUUGCAGAGGAUCAAGAGGAAGAUUUCUGGGUAGCGGAAAUGUUAGCAUAACUGCCGACCUUGACACAGCUCUGUGCUGUGCACUUAGGGUGAACGUAUUCUAUAGCAUGUAAAUUAUAUUCCCAUAAAAUUGAUUUAAGCACAUUUUUAAAAAUAAUAAAGAGGUCGUUUAUGUACUGAUAGAAACAGGCAGAGAGGGAGUAGCUGAAGCUGGAGUCACAGUGAGUGGUGAGGCCGGCGGGGGAGGCCCUGGCGUCCAGUGUCCGCAGAGGGGGGAACGGGAUUUGGAGUGGGAGGCUGGGUGGUGGCAGCGUUAACUCCUGUUGUGACUGUGGCUGUUCACUGUGCACGGGCCUUGGCCUCUUUGUGCGUGUUUGAGACCCUUUUGUGCUUUUUGUGCCUUUUUUUUUUUUUUAAGAUUUAUUUAUUUAUUUGAAAAUCAGAGUUACAUAGAGAGAGAAGGAGAGCUGGUUCACUCCUCAAUUGGCUGCAAUGGCAAGAGCUGCACCAAUCAGGAGUCAGGAGCCAGGAGUUUCUUUUGGGUCUCCCAUGUGGGUGCAGGGCCCAAGGACUUGGGCCAUCUUCUACUGCUUUCCCGGGCCAUAGCAGAGAGCUGGAUCGGAAGUGGAGCAGCCGGGACUCAAACCGGUGCCCAUAUGGGAUGCUGGCACUGCAGGAGGCGGCUUUACCCGCUGUGCCACAGUGUUGGCCCCACCCCUUUGCUCUUGACCUGUGCUGUGUCUGGUAGGCCAGGGUAGGUCUCCCUGGUCCUGUCAGGAAGGAAGGUUUAUGUGCAGGGCCUUGCCCUUCCUUUCUCAGGGCGGACUUGCCUUUGCUUCCAGCAGGAGGAGCAAUGAGAUGUGACUGGAGUGAGUUCUCUAGGAGGUGGAGAAAAGGCAGGAAAACUUGGUACUUGUUAGAUCACAGCUUUAACCUUUUGAAGGCACUUGAUGUUUAAUUAGUGGUGAUUGUGGUGUUAACCACCGGGGUGGGCAUUUGACUUGUGGUCACGAUACCACUUCCCGUAUUGGAGAGCCUGGGCUUGAUCCAUCUCUGUCCAGCCUCUGCUCACGCAAACCCUGGGAGGUAAUAUUUAGGAAAAAUUGCGUUUUUCCUUCAAAUAAUUUUCAUCUGAAGUGGGAAGAAUUACUAUAUACUAGUAGAAUAGAACACUGUAGGCAGGUUUCUUAUGGAAACCAAAAGAUUUUUACAUUUGGAAAUUUAUUGCCUAUGUAUUUGUGACUUGUGCAUAUUAAUGAAUAUCUUAUGCUUCACCGUGCGGGUGAAGGGGCCCAAGCACUUGGGCCAUCCUCCAUUGCCUUCCCGGGCCACAGCAGAGAGCUAGACUGGAAGAGGGGCAACCGGGACAGAAUCCGGUGCCCCCAUCGGGACUAGAAUCUGUGGUGCCGGCACCGGAGGUGGAGGAUUAGCCAAUUGAGCUGUGGUGCUGCCCCAAAGUCGGAUUUUCCACUGCUUCCUCAGGCUAUUAGCAAGAAGCUGGAUUGGAAGUGGAGCAGCUGGGAGCGCCCAUGUGGGAAGCUAAUGCCAUAGGCAGAGGCUUAAUGUUCCACACCACAGCACUCGAACAAAUGUAUUGCACAUUUUAGUAGUAGAGUGGCAUUUCAAUAUGUAGAUAUAUCAUACUUUUUUCAUUUGUUCCCUGUUGACAGUUGAUUUGCUUUGAGGGUUUUUCUUUUCUUUCUUUCUUUCUUUCUUUCUUUCUUUCUUUCUUUCUUUCUUUCUUUCUUUCUUUCUUUUUUGACCUUUACAAAUAAUACUACCAUAAACAUCCUUAUGCAAACGCCUUUGCAAUUUUGGACAGGUAAACUGGGAUUAUAAAUUCUCAGAAAUUGAAAUGCUGGAUCAGAAAGUAUGUAUUUAAAAAUUUUAGAGGUAUUUCUAAAUAGCACCCAGUACAGCACAAGGCUGUAUUGGCUAUAGCCUUUUAUAAAUCUGAUUUAAUUACCAUUUCUCUUUGAAGAUUUUAAAAAAGAUUUAUUUAUUUAUUUGAAAGGCAGAGAGACAGAAAAAGGAAAGAGAGAGAGAGAGAUGCAGAUACCUUCCAUCACUCCCUGGUUCAUUCCUCAAAUGACUGCAGUAGCCAGAUUUAGGCCAGGCCAAAGCCCAGUGUGGCCCCAGCACUUGGGCCUACUUCUGCUGCCUUCCCAGGUAUCUUAGCAGGAAGCUAGGUCAGAAGUGGAGUGGCUGGGACCCUGUAUUCCAAGACAGGAUGCAGGCGUGUGAGCCCUGGUUCUCACCACGCCACUGGCUCUCAUGCCCCUUUUAAAAGGUUUUCAGGGGCCAAUAUAGUCAUUGGCUUUGCAUUUUAGGUUAGCUUUUAAAAUCAUUUCUUAGGAAAACAUUUUCAGAAGAGCCAUCUUUUCAUUAUAUGUAUAGUGUCCUGCCCCACACCUCCUAUGGGUAAUUUUUUAUUUGAAUUUAUUUUUGGUAUUCUUAACCUUUUAGAAGGUGUUUGUUUUUAAGAAUCUGUUUAGAUGUAAUCUUUUUAAAACAAUUUUGCCAAUUAGAUCUUCUAUCCACUAGUUUACUCCGCAGAUGGCUGCAAUGGCCAGUGCUGGGCCAGGCUGAAGCCAGGAGCCAGGAGCUUCAUCCACGUCUCCCAUGUGGAUGGCGGGGGCCCAAACACUUGGGCCCUCUUCCACUGCUUUUUCCAGGCUGUUAUCAGGAAGCUGGGUUGAAACUGGAGCAGCCAGGACUUGAACCAGGGCCCAUAUGGAAUGCUGGCAUUGCAGGUGGCAGCUUUACCAGCUUCACCACAACAUGGCCCCAGACUUAAUCAACUUUGUUUUUAGUACCUCUAGAAUUUUUUUAAAAGCAUAUUUAGUAAGAUGUAAAACCUUUGUUGAAAAACUGAGUUUAUAUCUUGAUUUUUUUUUGUUUUGUUUUGUUUAGUAGUCUGUGGUCCUGGAAAGUUAUUUUUUCUCUGUGCCCAUUUUCUUUGCCUAUAAUAUAGAUUGUAUUUUGAUGUAAGCAUUUAGUAUCAUGACUGUUACAUAACUAAUGCUCCCUAAAUGGUAACUAUUAAUGAUUGUUAUUGAAUAUAUAAUUUGUAAGUGAAUAUGUAAUUUAGUGAAUAUAUAAUUUGCUAAGUUCAUCUAUAUGUAUGUACAUUUAUAGAAGUGUGUGUGUGUGUGUGUGGAUCCAAUUUUGGAUUUUCAGGUUUUACAGAGGGAAUCAGUUACGAUGUUAACAACUUGGAGAAGGAAUCAAAGAGCCAUAUGUUUAUCUGCAGUAAAGAAAUGCGGAAAUGAAUGUACUCCUAACAAAUGCAAAAGCUGGCCUACCCAUAAGGCACUGAUCACUUGCAUUUUAGCCAGAAUUUCUGUGGAACAGAAUCACUGAGUUAUUAUUGGUUUUCUGUCAUGUAUGAAGUUGGAAAAUAGCUCAGAGACACUGAGGAUGGGGUUAACCAGGACUGGUUUUUUUCUGACUACUUCAGAAUCCUUCUGAAUGUUGUUCCUUAGAUUUGGCCAUUUUUUCUACCCCAGUUCCUGAUUUAAUUACCACAGUUCACUAAUGCUUUUGAAUGUCUGGAAAGACACUUUCUCAUUACUCUUAUUUUUUAAAAACAUCUAUUUUUAUUUAUUUGAAAAGCAGAGUUACAGAGACAGAGAGGAGAGACAAAGAGAGAUCUCUGUCUCUUCCCCACCCUCCAUAACUCUGCCUUUCAAAUAAAGAAAAUAAAUCUUUUAAAAAAAGAGCAACAAAAUUAUGAAGAAUGAAACAGAAGCGUUAACUGUGUACACAAAUAAUCAUUUUGACAAACAGCAGACACCUGCCGUCAGGAACAUAAGACUGUGUCGUUCUGUGUCUUCUUGAAUAAAGGUCAGAAAAGUUCUUAUUCAAGCACAAAUACCUCCCAGCAGUGGGAGAAAUGUUCACCGUCACUAGCUCCCUGAUAGCAUUUAUGCAGGUUCCUCCUAAAGCAUUCCCGGCACACAAGCUCUCCUUCAAAGUACAGAUAUCCUGUGUACUACAUUGAUUUCUGAUCCACAGAAAUCCUGUGAAGUGCUGUGGUUGAAGUAGCUGUGGCUUUAAGAACUUGCAUUAUUCCUGGGUGAAUAUUAAUCUUUAUGAAGUAUUUUGAUGGAUUGGAAAAGAUAAUUUUAAAAUGUUAGCCACAUAGCUGCUAAAUAAUUGUCAGACUGCACAACCAAGAAACUACCAACUGCAUGGCUUUAUUAGUGUAUAUAAAACUUGAAAUGCAUUUUUGUAUUGAUCUUAACUCUCCUUUUAAUGUUUGGGGGGAAGAGUGGAAUGUAGAUGAAAAGUUAGAAAUUAGUACCACAUUAAGAAUCUUGAGAAAAUCCAGUCACCCCACAGGGCUCCAGCUUGUUAGACAGAUAGCUGACCAGAUUCCUGUCUCCAGUUUCCCUCCCCUCAGAGGGAGGUGAGCACGUGCAGGCAGGAGGACUGUCUGGGGUCAGGUCCGGAGGAGCCAGGGACUCCAGCAGGGGUCUCCCUGGAAGCAGGGGAAGAGGCUUUAAAGCCAGGGCCUCAGCGUGAUCACGAAACAGGAGCUCCUGGUCACAUUUGGGGGAAGCCACAAGCAGACUCGGUACUCUGAAGAUGGGGAGGGGAGGGUCUUCAGAUGGACUCCACGUUAGCUUCAGCUGGACUUCCGAGUUACAUUGCUUCUUC